rnacentral:sRNA from 1 species
AUUAUGUGGUAUGUAUAAUGUUACUAUAUAUAAAAUUAAACUAUAAAAUAUAAAUGUAUUAGAGAAUGAUGCAAUUUAUAAAACUCUUAUAUAUAAUAAAUAAUUCUUAAAUUUUAAAAAUUACUACUUUAAAAAAAAUCACGGGACAGGUAAAGAAAUUACAGAACGGGUUUUAUUUUGGAAUUGGGUUAUAUGGUGGAUGUAUUUGAAUCAAUAUUUAUAAAAUUUUAAAAUAUUAUUAAUAUACUGUUUUAAGAAGGGUUAAAACUUCAGUUUUUUAACAAUUGUCUCAUGGAUUCGUGGUAUAGCGUUACUUAAUAACAAUUAUAAACUGUAAAAUAUAAAUAUUUUAUAAAA